AGACCAUGAUGUGGGAAGAGGCUCAUCAUAUCUUUAUACCUCUCCUAAGCUUCAAAAAGAAAUUCGCCAUUUUUAUGUCUGAAAUCGUUUAUUUGGCUUCUUAGCGU